rnacentral:rRNA from 1 species
CCUACGGGCGGCAGCAGUGGGGAAUUUUGGACAAUGGGGGCAACCCUGAUCCAGCCAUUCCGCGUGAGUGAAGAAGGCCUUCGGGUUGUAAAGCUCUUUUGUCCGGAGCGAAACGGGCGGCCCUAAUACGGUCGUCUACUGACGGUACCGGAAGAAUAAGCACCGGCUAACUACGUGCCAGCAGCCGCGGUAAUACGUAGGGUGCGAGCGGUAAUCGGAAUUACUGGGCGUAAAGCGGUAACAGGCGGGUGAACUCCCCGGGCUCAACCUGGGAAUGGCAUUUGGGACUGCAAGGCUGGAGUGUGGCAGAGGGGACUAGAAUUCCUGGUGUAGCAGUGAAAUGCGUAGAUGUCAGGAGGAAUACCGAUGGCGAAGGCAGGUCCCUGGGUUAACACUGACGCUCAUGCACGAAAGCGUGGGGAGCAAACAGGAUUAGAUACCCGGGUAGUC